rnacentral:rRNA from 1 species
UACAGAGGGGGCAAGCGUUGUUCGGAAUUACUGGGCGUAAAGGGCGCGUAGGCGGCCUGCUAAGUCGAACGUGAAAUCCCCGGGCUCAACCCGGGAACUGCGUCCGAUACUGGCGGGCUUGAAUUCGGGAGAGGGAUGUGGAAUUCCAGGUGUAGCGGUGAAAUGCGUAGAUAUCAGGAGGAACACCGGUGGCGAAGGCGGGUCUCUGGGCCGAUACUGACGCUGAGGAGCGAAAGCGUGGGGAGCGAACAGG